rnacentral:rRNA from 1 species
AGGGGCAGCGGGGAGUGAGGCUUGCCUUACUCUGCCGGCGACCGGCGCACGGGUGAGUAACACGUAUGCAACCUACCCUUUACAGCGGGAUAACCGGAAGAAAUUUCGCCUAAUACCGCAUAUACUCCUUGGGAGGCAUCUUCCGAGGGGGAAAGAAUUUCGGUGAAGGAUGGGCAUGCGUCGCAUUAGUUAGUUGGCGGUGUAACGGACCACCAAGACGACGAUGCGUAGGGGUUCUGAGAGGAAGGUCCCCCACACUGGUACUGAGACACGGACCAGACUCCUACGGGAGGCAGCAGUGAGGAAUAUUGGUCAAUGGCCGAGAGGCUGAACCAGCCAAGUCGCGUGAGGGAAGAAUGUCCUAUGGAUUGUAAACCUCUUUUGUCAGGGAGCAAAGUCACCCACGUGUGGGUGUUGGAGAGUACCUGAAGAAAAAGCAUCGGCUAACUCCGUGCCAGCAGCCGCGGUAAUACGGAGGAUGCGAGCGUUAUCCGGAUUUAUUGGGUUUAAAGGGUGCGUAGGCGGGUUAUCAAGUCAGCGGUAAAAUCGUGGAGCUCAACUCCAUCCAGCCGUUGAAACUGAUGAUCUUGAGUGGGCGAGAAGUAUGCGGAAUGCGUGGUGUAGCGGUGAAAUGCAUAAAUAUCACCCCGAACUCCAAUUGCGAAGGCAGCAUACCGGCGCCCGACUGACGCUGAAGCACGAAAGCGUGGGUAUCGAACAGGAUUAGAUACCCUGUAGUCCACGCAGUAAACGAUGAAUACUAAUUGUGUGCUCCGAAUGAGGAGUGCGUGAUACAGCGAAAGCGUUAAGUAUUCCACCUGGGGAGUACGCCGGCAACGGUGAAACUCAAAGGAAUUGACGGGGGCCCGCACAAGCGGAGGAACAUGUGGUUUAAUUCGAUGAUACGCGAGGAACCUUACCCGGGCUCAAACGCAGGAGGGAUGUUUUUGAAAGGAGGCAGCUCUACGGAGUCUCCUGCGAGGUGCUGCAUGGUUGUCGUCAGCUCGUGCCGUGAGGUGUCGGCUUAAGUGCCAUAACGAGCGCAACCCCUACCGCCAGUUGCCAACGGGUAAAGCCGGGAACUCUGGCGGGACUGCCGGCGCAAGCUGUGAGGAAGGCGGGGAUGACGUCAAAUCAGCACGGCCCUUACGUCCGGGGCGACACACGUGUUACAAUGGCAGGUACAGCGGGAAGCCACUUGGCGACAAGGCGCGGAACCCGAAAACCUGUCUCAGUUCGGAUUGGAGUCUGCAACCCGACUCCAUGAAGCUGGAUUCGCUAGUAAUCGCG